rnacentral:rRNA from 1 species
GAUGAACGCUGGCGGCGUGCCUAAUACAUGCAAGUCGAGCGAACAGACGAGGAGCUUGCUCCUUUGACGUUAGCGGCGGACGGGUGAGUAACACGUAGGUAACCUACCUAUAAGACUGGGAUAACUUCGGGAAACCGGAGCUAAUACCGGAUAAUAUUUCGAACCGCAUGGUUCGAUAGUGAAAGAUGGCUUUGCUAUCACUUAUAGAUGGACCUGCGCCGUAUUAGCUAGUUGGUAAGGUAACGGCUUACCAAGGCAACGAUACGUAGCCGACCUGAGAGGGUGAUCGGCCACACUGGAACUGAGACACGGUCCAGACUCCUACGGGAGGCAGCAGUAGGGAAUCUUCCGCAAUGGGCGAAAGCCUGACGGAGCAACGCCGCGUGAGUGAUGAAGGUCUUCGGAUCGUAAAAUUCUGUUAUUAGGGAAGAACAAACGUGUAAGUAACUGUGCACGUCUUGACGGUACCUAAUCAGAAAGCCACGGCUAACUACGUG